CUGAAUACGACGUCUGACAACAGUAGAGACGGAAUAACGAUCCUUAUAGACAUUACAGAGUCAUGAGAUAUUCUCAGGUAAAGGUUGGACUGAGAGAGAGGGGGGAGAGGAGACAUCCUUAUAGACAUUACAGAGUCAUGAGAUAUUCUCAGGUAAAGGUUGGACUGAGAGAGAGGGGGGAGAGGAGACAUCCUUAUAGACAUUACAGAGUCAUGAGAUAUUCUCAGGUAAAGGUUGGACUGAGAGAGAGGGGGGAGAGGAGACAUCCUUAUAGACAUUACAGAGUCAUGAGAUAUUCUCAGGUAAAGGUUGGACUGAGAGAGAGGGGGGAGAGGAGACAUCCUUAUAGACAUUACAGAGUCAUGAGAUAUUCUCAGGUAAAGGUUGGACUGAGAGAGAGGGGGGAGAGGAGACAUCCUUAUAGACAUUACAGAGUCAUGAGAUAUUCUCAGGUAAAGGUUGGACUGAGAGAGAGGGGGGAGAGGAGACAUCCUUAUAGACAUUACAGAGUCAUGAGAUAUUCUCAGGUAAAGGUUG